GAGGAGAGGGCAUUGGAUGAACCAAUCAGUUCGAAGUUGUAGAGUUUGGAGGUGGAUGUUACUAAAGGGAGGAAGUUGAUCACAAGUUUUCUUUCAGCAAUUGGUGAGUUACAGGGAUAUCAUGUGCAUAUGUAUGAGUCUGCUUUGCUUCGGUUGAAGAUAUAUGUGUGCCUGAAGAUACAAUCUUACAUGCAUUUUCUGUAUGAUAUGAUCACUAUUUCAUUCUCUGCGUGUACGUAGGUUGCAAGAAUGAGAAGGCUCCUCCGUGCUUAACAGGAAGAGACAGGGUCGCAGCCGCACCGCACGACGGCAGGCCAUGGCGAGCCGCACCACACCAGGUGGGCUAGAGCGAGCUCCAGCGCGAGCGAGCGCACCCGUCGCCCAUGCUGGCGGUGUCCCGGCCACGAGCAACAGGAACAUAGGGUCCCUGACCACGGCUGGAUCUCCUCCUUCUCCGUCCACAUGCGUGCAGCAGGAACUAGCAGUCGCACGGGUCUGAGCUCGGCCUCUCUAGUAGGGUGGCUUCCAUGCUGUAGCUAUUGUUCUUUUCUCCAUUUCUCUGAAGAUGCUUGCUAUCUUCAGAUCUUGCCGAGUGUUCGUCUGAGAUU